UACGGAGGGGGCUAGCGUUGUUCGGAAUUACUGGGCGUAAAGCGCACGUAGGCGGCUUUGCAAGUUAGAGGUGAAAGCCCGGGGCUCAACUCCGGAAUUGCCUUUAAAACUGCAUCGCUAGAAUUGUGGAGAGGUAAGUGGAAUUCCGAGUUUAGAGGUGAAAUGCGUAGAUAUCUGGAGGAACACCGGUGGCGAAGGCGGCAUCCUGGACCGGCAUUGACGCUGAGGCGCGAAAGCCAGGGGAGCAAACGGG
rnacentral:rRNA from 1 species